CAACCUGGGAGGGGUUGGGGGUCUCCUCUGAGGCCGGCUCGCCGAGAAGGCAGUGACCCCACAAAUGGCUGGUGAAACGUGUUCUAGCGACAGGAAAGCUGAGUGUGGUAGUAAGAAGCUCACACGCAGCGACAGUGCUUGCUGGAGACUGGUCACAGUCAGAGGCCAUCCUGCCAGAUGCUAAAUCUCCCCGGCAAGAAAUCCAAAGACAAAAUGUGCAGCGGCCACUGUCCAAAACCACUGUGUACAGAACAGCACAGAGCCCGUCAGAGCGGCAGGUGUCACAGCAGCAAACACUGGAGCCCGAUGUGUUGACUUUGGCAAGCUCCUGCACGACUUGUCAUGGAAAUGGAGUUUAUCGACAUUGAAAACUGGGACUCUAGAACUCAGCGAGGCUACCUGCUCCGACUGUCAGCCAAAGUGAUCUCCGGAAGCGCAAGAGUUACCAUUUCCUGUGUGCGUGGCCCGUGCAGGGGAUGGCCAAGUGCCCCGGAGACUUUGCACGUGUCAUCUGACUCCGUCCUUCCCGUGAGGGUUAGUGUGAUUAUGCCUAUGUUUCAGCUGCUGAAAACGGGGCUCAGAGAAGCUGAGUGAUUUAAGAUCACACAGGCAGUUAAAUGAAGCCCAAAUUUUA